UACGUAGGUGGCAAGCGUUGUCCGGAUUUACUGGGCGUAAAGAGCGCGCAGGCGGUCGGAUUAGUCGCGUGUGAAAGCCCCCGGCUCAACUGGGGAGGGUCACGCGAUACUGUUCGACUCGAAGGCAGGAGAGGGAAGUGGAAUUCCCGGUGUAGUGGUGAAAUGCGUAGAUAUCGGGAGGAACACCAGUGGCGAAGGCGACUUCCUGGCCCAAUACUGACACUGAGAUGCGAAAGCGUGGGGAUCAAACAGG
rnacentral:rRNA from 1 species